rnacentral:rRNA from 1 species
AUUGAACGCUGGCGGCAUGCCUUACACAUGCAAGUCGAACGGUAACAGGUCUUUUGCUGCUGGCGUUUGGCGCACGGGUGUGUAAAACGGCGGAACAUCCCCAGACUUGGGGGCUACCAAGGCGGAAGCUUUGCUAAUAACCCAGACGAACUUAGGAUGAGAGCUGGGGGCCGCUAGGCCUUGUGCGUUUGGAGCGGCUGAUGGCAGGUGAGGAGGUUGGUGGGUUUCAAGCUUACCAAGCCGACGAUCUGUAGCAGGGCUGAGAGGACGACCCGGCACAGUGGGACUGAGACAGGGCCCAGACUCCGACGGGAGGCAGCAGUGGGGAAUGUUGGACAAUGGGCGAAAGCCUGAUCCAGCAAUGCCGCGUGCAGGAUGAAGGCCUUCGGGUUGUAAACUGCUUUUGUACGGAACGAAAAGGAUCUGGCUAAUACCUGGGGCACAUGACGGUACCGGAAGAAUAAGCACCGGCUAACUACGUG